AGGUACUUAGUCCAAGCAUAAGACUAUUGAUUUCGGCUCAACUAAUUAUGGUGCAAGCCCAUAAGUACCUU
rnacentral:tRNA from 1 species